rnacentral:rRNA from 1 species
UACGGAGGGGACUAGCGUUGUUCGGAAUUACUGGGCGUAAAGCGCACGUAGGCGGAUUUGUAAGUCAGGGGUGAAAUCCCGGGGCUCAACCUCGGAACUGCCUUUGAUACUGCAAAUCUCGAGUCCGGAAGAGGUGAGUGGAAUUCCUAGUGUAGAGGUGAAAAUUCGUAGAUAUUAGGAAGAACACCAGUGGCGAAGGCGGCUCACUGGUCCGGUACUGACGCUGAGGUGCGAAAAGCGUGGGGAGCAAACAGGGAUUAAGAAACCCUGGUAGUCCGACGAAGCAA